CCUUCCUGCCUUUGGCUUUGCGCAUGGGAGGACUUUAAUAUACUCGAGGUGAAGCUAAGGGGAGUGGGACUCAUUCAGGGCGUGUGACCUGUGCUUCUUUCAAGCGUCUUCGCUUGUUACGCGCCGAUGACUCCUCUCUUCGCUCGACGAAGAGGGAUAGAGCUUCGGUGCAUACUUAUUUUGGUGAGAUACUUUUUCGGAGGCUUUGUUUAUAUUUCACAAGAGAUAUGGGAACCAAAGAUAGAAUUUCACCACUCCGAAGCUGACAAUUAUUUCACCUGCAAAAAUAUGUUAUUUCGUUUCACAUUUAUUACGAUGCCUUCGGCUUUCUAGAUAGGAGGGAUUCCGUCUUUUGCCUUUGGCUUUAUGCACAACAAUACUUUUCUUGGCUUUGGCAUUUCAUGCGAUAGGACUUUUCUUGCCUUCGGUAGGCUGACUCUGGCUCUAUAGCACGGGUAGGUCAUGACAGGACUUUCCCGUCUUCGGCUGCCUCCGACAUUUUGCAUGACAGGACUUUCCCGCCUUCGACUUUACACACAAAAGGACUUCUUUGCCUUCGACUUUUCGCACGACAGGACUUUUUCUUACCUUCGGCAUUUCGCACGAUAGGACUUUCCGUUUCAGCAUGAGCAUCUUUGGCUCCCCAUUGUAGUAUAUGCUAGUAGUACUUGUAGUUGAGUAAGACCAAUUCUCUUACUCGCGGGUUCGUCGCUUCGUAUUUAUAUAUAGAGAGUGUUGUAGUUUGCUGCGGGUCGACAUAUGUAGUUAGACUACAAUAGUAAUUAAUAGCGUAGAUAUGGUGUUUAGGCUAGGGGUUAUCCUUCGUGUGCCUUGUAACCCAUGGUUUGUUUGAGGUAGGCCAUAUAUGGUGACAACCCUAUUGGUCCUUCGUAAUCCUGCACGUUCAGAUAUAGUGUAGAGUUGUUGGUCGGAGUCGCCACGCCGACCAGGUAUAAACUGAUGCCCGAAGCGAGUAUUGUGCCCGAGAGAUCGACCUUUAACUCAGCUAUAGUACUUUCUUAGGAGUCCUCUUUAUCUUCACCACCUAUCUUGGUGUGUCCUUGGACCGACUAGAAUAGAAGUUAGUGCACACACGUUCUCUUCGAUUUGAUAGCCCUUGGAAUACUGUGAGGUGAAAGCUAUAACGAUAUCUAUGCGCUUGCGGAUUUAUUCAUGACACUAAAAUACCCAACACCCUUGUCGUUCGGUGGUGUGUUAUGUUAACACUAUUUAGUAGCAGCUAUACAAUCUGCCUUUGUUCCUAGUAUGUUUAAUACAUACUGGGUAUGUUGGGUGUUUUAUAACCAACACCCCUCUCUUCUUUUACUAUAAUAAGUAAAGUAAUAGUUCAUCUGUGCAUUUUGUAGAUGUGAAUGGAAACUAUUCGUGCAGAAGCUGUUGCUGAUGGGCAGCCACCAAUGACUAGUGCUGAGGUUGUUUCGAAGAACAAGCGCUACGUCAACAACUUGCUAUUGAGAAACAAGGUGAGGCUGCUAUCCAUGACCAAGUUGUUGAUUUAAAGAAGAGGAGUGAAGCAGCAGAGGAAGCACUGGCGACAACUCAUCGACAGUUUGAGGAGCUAAAGAAGCAACAGGAAGAGAGCAAUCUCAUCCUUGAGAGAAUCUUGAUGGUGAGCAUCGCUGGUACUCCUUCUUAGCCCUAAUCCUUGACCUCCAGUGUUUGUGUGAUGUCAUAAUGUAUUUAUGAACUAUUUUGGUGGUGUGAUGAAUUGCUUUGGUUGUAAUUUAUGUGGUACACUUUCUGUAAUUUGCUAUUAUAUCAUUUGGUGUUCUGCGAUGGAA